UGUGGGAGCGAGCCUGCUCGCGAUAGCGGUCUCGCGUUCAGCAUCAUUGUUGUCUGACACGCCGCCAUCGCGAGCAAGCUCGCUCCCACA
rnacentral:misc_RNA from 1 species